GCCCCUGUAGCUCAGUGGAUAGAGCGUCUGCCUCCGGAGCAGAAGGUCGUGGGUUCGAGUCCCGCCGGGGGCA
rnacentral:tRNA from 2 species